rnacentral:rRNA from 1 species
CAUAGGCUAGCCUAAAAGAUCAACCCCUGUUUGUCUCAAUUAAAUCUUUAAUCCGGUGAAACUGCUAACGGCUCAUUAAAGCCCUGAUUGUUUAUUUGAUGGCCACUCUUCCAUGGAUAACGGUGGUAAUUCUAGAGCUAAUGCAUGCACCAAAACCCGACUUCGCAAGGGUUGUGUUUAUCUAUACAGAACCAUCCCAUGCUCCCCAGGGUUUUGUGGUGACUCAUAAUAACUCGAUGAAUCGUAUGGCUGCUCUGACGACGCAACCUUCAAGUUACGGACCUAUCGCGCUUCCGACGGAUGGGUAUUGGCCUACCGAGUCACUGACGGGCAACGGAGAAUAAGGGUUGGAUUCCGGACAGGGAGCCUGAGAAACGCCUACCACAUCUAAGGAAGGCAGCAGGCGCUCAAAUAACCCAACCCUGACACAGGGAGGAAGGGCCAAGAAAUAACCUAACAGGGCAAUACUGACUUGUACUUGGAAUGACUGGAAUUAAAAUCUCU